GGCGUGAUAGCUCUGUUGGUAAGAGCAUUGCACCGGCAUCGCAAGGUCAUGGGUUUGAUCCCGUUCAAGCCU